GGGCCUCCGUCCUUUGCUCCUUUCACUCCAGGCCAGGCCCCGGGCAGGCGGGAGGGAGGGAGAGAGAGAGAAGUAAGUGGUAGCUCAGUUUGCCAUGGUCUAAAUACAGUUGCUUUAUGCUGGUUCAGACCCUUCCCAUCCUGUCCCUCUCUCCACCCCUUCCAAAAACCGAGGAGGGGAGAAAAGAAAGAUGGAGAGCAGACACCCUCCUGCCUGUGCUCUGUCACUUCUGCCGGAGUUUGUUUUCUUCACACCAGCUUCGCACUCACGACACAGCCCGCCCCUGGUCAGGGCGGUGGCAGUGGCGGGCUGCUUCCAAGUCCGUGUAGAGCUGUCUUUUAACAAAAGGCUUUUUUUUUCUUUUUUAAACAAGUAAACUGUUCUUUGUUUCUGUUUUGUUGCUGCUGUCGUUGUCGUUGUUUACUUUGCCUGUCCAAACUACAAACCUUAGGCGUAAUCUAAAAAAACCAAAACCCCACCAUCCUGGCAGGUCUGGGAAUCCUUUCCCUCUGGUUAACCACUUGAUUUUUUCCAAGUGUGAUCACAGACGGCGUCCCACAAGCAUCUGUGCCCGUGCUCUGCCCGCCAAGGCAGGAGCAGCUCUCAUGUGGGUUGAGAGCCUGGUCUUCUCUGAAAGACACCUUGUUGGGCUGUCUGGGUGCGGGGUGUGGGGAGGUGGCUUUCUGAUUUGCUGGGGUGGGUGCACCUGCCUCACCCUCACCCUGCCUCCUCCUCCACCUCCGCUGUCCCCUCCGGGAACUCCUUGGAUUUAAACCAGACUGAGACUGGGAAAGGCUGUCAGAGAGAGAUCGGUGUCUGGGGCUGGAAGGAACUUUUAUGAUGAAGCUCUUGAGUGUGACAUUCUUUCCAACCUGUCUCCGGCCGGGUUUGAGAAUCUGCCUGAGUUCCUCACACCUUUUGAAAGGUUAGCUCCUCCAGAUAAGAAUAGGGAAAGAGCUGUUGUCUAGAAGAGAAGGCAGAGAUUUCUCUGUGUAGCUCAUGAAUUCAAAACUGGGACCAGUGAGGCAAAGUCUGAGGAGCCUUUGGCUUGGUGACAGCCGGAAUUUCGCGCCGUGUGCAUCUCGCCGUGAGCCGUGGGCCGCAGGAGGCAGGGGCUCCCUGGCACUGGAGGUAUCUUAGCAAAAAUGGGACAGGCACCUCUUGGGGAUUUUAACGUGACCUCCUCCCAGGAUGGGAGGUGACCUGGAAGACACUUCUGCUUUGCAAGGUCUCACAUCAUGGUUGAUGUUAACUCCCAGGAGAGGAGGGUUAGGACAUGCUACAUACCAGGCAGGAAAGGGAAUCAGUGAAAUAUGGGUGUUCUCCAACAGAAACAGCAGGUCGCCUACCAAGAUGGCAGUGAGAGGAGUAAGAGGGAUUUAGGGAUGGAAACUCAAGACAUUGGAUGGCCAUGCAUGUGUCUAUAUGCAUUCCUAGCAUAUGGUCCACACUGGGACCUUGUCCCGGGGAUGGAAAUGGGUGUAUAGGCUUCAGGUUGGACCAGACCAGGCCUUGCCUCGGGUGAGGCUUGGGGUAAGGCCACAGACAUUGGGAAGAGGGGCCAGACUUCCAAGAGAGAGUGAGACGUUCAAAGCCUUGGCAACCCAUGAACCCAAGAAAGACAGGAGCCUGACAGGCUUCUCCCUUUCCCCCAGAGGAGAAACCCAAGGGGCUACUGACUGAGAAGGCCAUCCAUGCCAAGGGGCAGCCGUCUUCCUGGCCACUGCAGACGGGUGUUCUGCGCCCAGCUGGUGGUCUUUCCCAUGGUGUUCUCUCUGGUUGGGACUUCUUUCCCAGGCUCACAUAUCCUCACCAAUGAUGCCAUGGUUGCCCUUCAUACAGUGCGGAUGUGGCUCUCCUGCCUAGUGGGCAGAGCUCACCCAGGUACCAGGCUCCACCUGUGUGCAUCCCUCUUGAGGCUGCUUGCUGGCAUCUGGGUGCCCAGUGCAGGCCACUGUGGCAGGAGAGGUGGACAACAGCCAGCUGUAUUUUUUUUAAAUAGGCCGUCGUCGUCUUCUUUGGCCUGAGUCUGGGGCAAGGAGAGGUCUGCCUGAUACGUGGGCAGGUCCCAACUUCCUGCUUUGGUACAAUUGUCCAUGGUUAAGGCCUAAUUCCAGACAUACUUCUUCGGCCCUCCCAUGUGACGUUCAGGGGUGUGUGGUCAGAAAGCCCAGACUGAUUCCUGUCCUUAUUUAGCCACUACCAGCUACCAUCAAACAGAGGUAACUUUCGGAUCCACCCCCUUUUUUUUUUUCUUUUUUAAAUAUUUAUUUGGCUGUGUCGGGUCUCAGUUGCAGCACGUGGGAUCUUCAUUGCAGCAUGCAGGAUCUUCCGUUGCGGCGUGCGGGCUCAUCGCUGUGGGGCGUGGGCUUCUCUAGUUGUGGUGUGCGGGCUCCAGAGCAUGUGGGCUCAGUGGUUGCGGCACUCACAGGCUCUCUAGCUGUGGCGCACAGGCUCAGUAGUUGUGGCGCACGGGCUUAGUUGCCCUGCGGCAUGUGGGUUCUUAGUUCCCUGACCAGGGAUCAAACCUGCAUCCCCUGCAUUAGAAGGCAGAUUCUUAACCACUGGACCGCCAGGGGAGUUCCUGGACCCACCCUCUUGACUUGAGGUCUUCUCUGAUCCCCAGGCAGGGUGAACCAUCAAGAGCUUCCUGGAUCAUUGAGCCAGGGGGCUGUGUCCCACCCUCUCUGCUUCCUGGGUGACUUUGGCUAGACCCCUACCCCUACUCCCACCCCAAGGGGCAUCAUUUCUCCAUCAGUCAGAUGAAGGUGGACGAGGUCCUUCCCUAGUCAGGGUGCUGAACUGCUCAGGCUGGGUCACUGUUGCGGGGAAAGGAUAUCUCUCUGGAAGGAGGUAGUGGCUGCCCAUUUCCGGAGCAGGCCGUCUCCCAGCAGGAGUAUUAGCUAUUGAUUGCCGGCCCUGACCCUCGCGCACCUUGCAGGCAGCCACUCUGAUAUUAGGAGGGAAGUAGAGAUGGUAUCGAGGGUUUUAUCUCCUGCCAACAAUUGCACUUCUUCCCCUGCUUGGUCACGGCCUGGCAGGCAGCUCUGCUGCAGGAGGGGCUUUGCACCAAGGAGCCAGCCUGGCUUGGCUGAUCCAGCUUUGGCCAAACCCUGUCCCAAGGUGGCCAGCCCGGUUUUCUGGUCAGGAUUCCAACCCUAGUUGGUGCUAAAUUUAGUUGAGGACUCCAAGGUGGGUGUGAGGGACCAGCUUUUCACCCCCACUCCUGGCCCCUUAGAAAGCAACACAGAGGACUUACUGCCUCAGGCCUCUGACUGCCAGGCUGCAAGGCUCCACUUGGGGUCAGAAGGUUUGGCCAUCUUCACAUUAGGUCCCAUCUGUUUGCUCUUCCUUAUUCGGUGUUGGGGUUUCCGAGGCGGACAGUGCCCGUGGUCCUGUGGCAUGAGAUGUGUUUGGUAGCAAGCUGAGGGCCGACGGGGAGAUGUUUUGGGACCUGACCUGGCCACACCUCACUAUUGGGGAAUAUUGUGGGGUUCUACGGGUCAUGGGAGACCGUAGCAAGGACAUUCUAAUUCUUUGUGUUCCUUACAAAAAGACCGCCUCAAUCUUGGCAUCCCAGCACCUGGUGUGCACUGGGGACCCAGGAAAUGUUUGAACUGAGUUUGUGUUGCUCGUGUUACUAGGAGUGGAGCCCAACCGGCCCCCAAGCUCUAGGUCCAGCAUUCUGACCAGGCUAGGCGGGUCCAGGGGUGGUGGUGUGGAGAGUGGGGAAGGACUUGGAGUUCUGGAGCCCGAGGACACGUGUUGUAGCCCCCUGCUUGUCCAUGUGCUUGCUGAGUGACUUUGGGCAAGUUGCUCCCCAUCUCUGGGCCCCAGUUUCUUCAGCAGUAGACAAAGCAGGGUGGACCAGAUGGUCUCUGAGGGCCCUUCCCACUUGGAUUUUCUGCUUUGGAUCCAGAUGGAUUUUACAUAAUCAAGCAGUGGCAUUUUUUUUCACGCAGCUGAAGUCAGUUGGGCUGCACAUCUGGCAAACUCAGCUUGGCUUUGGCCAGGCCUGCUGGUCUGGGUGGGUCCCCAGCUCCUUGGCCCUAAGGUGGUUUGAAGGGAGGCACCAUCCAAUGAGGAUUUCUAGGUCCAGAGCUGGAGAACUGCAGGAGGGCAGGGGGUCACGGAGAAGGGAGCAUUGGGUACAGGCUGUUUUUGUUCUUGUUUUGUUUUAAAUUCCAAUAAUUGUUUUCAGUUAUGAAGUGUUUUUGGACAUGCAGCCUGCUUUCAUUCUGAUCACAGCGUUUCUGCAGAGGAGGCAUGGCUGAUUGGGAAAGUGAGACUCAGAAAGGUGAAUGACCUGCCCAAAGUUAUCAACCGAGGGCUGGAAUCAGAGCCUAAACCCAGGUUCCUGGUUUCUGAUUCUCGUGUUCUUCCACAGCAGUCAGAGUCCUAAUGUAGGUACAUGUCUGAUUGUCUAAGAGACGAAGAGAGAAUAGAGCACAAGAGAAAAGGGGGGAAAAAUAAUGGAAGGAGAAGGAGAAACUCUAGCCAUCUUCUCUCAAAAGGAGCCAAUGUUUCCAUUCAAAUGCCAGCAGAAGUCAUAGGUCUACAGACUGUGCCUUCUCUGGAAAAGACAGCCCUGGGGGACCCAGCUCCCUUUGCCAAGCCCAGCCCCUCCUGCUCUGAACAUGCCUAGAGACUUUCCGCCACGGUGGGGGACAUGUAGGGCUUGACAUGUCCCCUGUUCCAGUGAGUCCUCGUCUCUGCUGGGCCAGCCCACCCACCGUUGAAGGAGGUUGAGGUCUGUCCCAGAGAACCCCUCCCCGUCACAGGGGGAGAGAGGAGAAGAAACAAAUGAUGUGUAUAGCCCAGGAAGCAGAGAAAUGAUCCAGAAAUAAGAGGGAGGGAGGUACACAUGACCUUGGUCCUUUGCUGUUGAGAUUAUAGGAUACACUUCUCUGCUUAUCUCGCACUGGAGUAGCUGGGGUUUCUCUGGGAGAGAAGCAGCCUCAGGAGGGCUCUGAUGACUGACUUGAAGUAUCUGAAGUUCUGCCAUGUAGAAGAUAUUCAGCCCUGCCUCUGUGAGGUCAGCCCCGUAGAUCGCAGAUCCUUCUGAGAAAAGGAGAGGGAGACCACUUGAAGUCUUUGUAGGGAAGACAUUUCUACCACCUGCUCAUUUAAUGAUGAAGUAGUGAGCUCCUUGACACUGGUGGUAACCAAGCAGAGACUAGAUGCCCAGCAGAGAUCCUUGAGGACUGUGAGCCUUGGGGUGGGGUGAUGUGUUUCCAGGGAAGAUCAAAGCCCAGCAGAUGAGAACAUGCCGGCAGCAGCAGCUCGGGCAGUUCGCAAGAGCUGGGCCGUUUCCUGCCUUCCUGUCCAGCGGGAAGCAGGCAGCAGCAGAGUGAGCUGACAUUCUUCCUGCCAGAAAGCUGCUGCAACAGGAAGGACUACUCUGUGCUGAUGAGGGCAAGUCUGGGACUAGGGGAGACUUGGGAAGAAUUAAACCACCUUGUUUUUGUGGCUUUCAAAGCCUGCUACUAGGGAGGACUUGAUGGGUGAGGGCCCAGAUCCCCACUGGACAGCUGGUGAAUCUGAGGCUAGAACCAUGUGAGGCCUGGCCCCAGCUUGUUGUUAGCUCAUCGGCCAGACAUGGUCUCUUAAGGGCUCAGCGACCUCCCAGCCUCCCAGCCACCCAGCCGUGCUGAGCACUGCAGACUAAGGAGGCAGCCAGGGAACCUGCCCUCAGUGGCUCACACAGACUGUCUGGUGAAGGAGGCAGGGGUGAUUACACAGAGGAGCCAGUGUGCCUGGGCGUGGAUGUGAAGGGGUAAGUUUGGGAUGGCAGGAGGUCCAGACAGACACACGAAGGACUUGAACUUAAAGACAGAGGGGCUCCGUGGAAGGUCCCUAAGAAGGGGAGUGACAUGGUCCCAGGAAGAGCACCAGUGGCCUAGAGGGGCUGGGCUCAUGGCAGGAUGGCCAGCAUGGAGGUGUGAAGCCCAGGCUGUGGUCCCCAUGGGAGGUGGCCAGGCCUGAGCUGGAGUGGUGACUGAGUGCGGUGGCUGGUGCCCCCUGCCCUCGACGGGUGACCCCUCGCUGGAUGUUUUAGCUGGGGCGGGGGGCGCGGGGCACGGGGAGCAGGGCCAGGAGGAGGCCUGCUUUGGACUGAGGUGCGGGGUAGGGCAGAGCAGGAGGCAGGUGUGGGGCUGAGAGUCAGCCUCUUGCCGAGUGUCCGGUACCUCCUACCCUGUUGGAGCCUUCCCUCUGCAGGGGACGAGACCCCGUAUGUGGUCCCGUGGCUGCCCAAGCCAGCCCUUCCUGGCCUCCCCAGCCGUGCUCGCAGGUCCUAAAGUGGAACUGGCCGAAGCCCUCUCAUAGUUGCUGGUGGAGCACCCUCCAGGUCAGCGAAGGCGCCCCGUCUGUGAUCUCAUUUGCCUGUCAGGUAGGCCUGAGAGCUGCUAGCAUUCCCACUGUCUGGGUGAGGAACGCGAGGCUCAGCUUGGCCAGAGUGCUGCUCAGGGAAGAGAGGCCUGGGCGGGGUGGUGAGGUUCGGAGCUUCUUGAGGAACUCCCUGUCUGCUGGGGAGCAGAUUCCUCCCCUUUCUGGGCCGGCUCUCUGACCCCAGCCCCUUGCCCUGUCUGCUUCCCUGUGGGCGGAGGGGAUCUGAUAGGUGCACCGGUCCAUGGGAGCGGACAGAGGAGCUGUGUCCCGGGUGAGCAGGCGGGGUCCUCCGGGGGACAGAAGCACCCCCUCGUCCCCGCCCCUCACCCUGCUGUCUGCCUCCAGACUGACAGAAGGCAGGGUCACCCCCGCUGAGAAGGAUUAGAGCAGAGGCGGGGCGCCGCAAACGCUGGGCCCUGGGCCACGGCUGGAGGUGGGAGCGCUUGUUGUUCCCACCCCGAGCCCCCGCCUCUUCCAAACUGACUUGCUGCCUGCAACAGCGGAACCCCCCCCCGCCCCUCCCGUUACUGAGAUGAAGCCAGGGGCAGCCUUUAAGCCUGAAGACCCCUACCCUGGGAGGUGGACGCCUGCUUUGAGUCCAGCCCCGCUGUUGCCAAACUGCUCCUUGGGUGGCCACCCUCCCCUGUCUGGACCUUAGUUUGCUCAUCACUCUAGCGAGGGGUGCCCAAGAGGCCUUUAUGAACCCCUGCCACUCUGAAGCGUUGUGCACCGUGCUGUUCCUCCCUUCCCUGCUGUGGACCCACUCGCAGACGUUGCCCCACGUUCACCCGGCCUGUGCGGAAAGGCCAGGGCAGGAGAGAGGGGGGAAAAAGACUUUCUUUCUUGCCAACACUACCUCCACAAAGGUCAGUCUGUGCUCCCGCCCCGCCCGGCAACCAGCCUGGUGCCUAACGUCUGCCCAGCGGCAGAUGACCGGCCGGGGCUCCUAGCAACCGUGGACAAAAGGUUACUCCUGACGUGCCAGGCUGCCUCGCCCCCUCGCCCUUCCUCCUAAAAAGGGGGAAAAAAAGUUGCCGCCGUGACCGAUGCUUGUGCCUGAGUGCACGCGUGGGCAUGUUUGCGUCUGCACACGCAGGCCGCCUCCCCCUCCCCAAAAUGUGAACUCCACUCUCGCUGAUGAAAUGGAAAGUUGAACAUAAAUCAGUGUCUGCCACCCUGUUAGCUAUGCAUCAGCAGUCAGUGCCUGGGAGGUUUGCUCAGUAACAAAGCACCCGGCGGCUCCUCAGGCCUCGACCGCCCCCUGUCGUGGAGCCAGCCCCACACCCGGGGUCGCGUGGGCUGCAGCCAGCCCUGCCGCCUGCCCCUGCUGCCCCAGACCCGUCCUGGCUCCAAUCCCUCUCCAGGGAGAGGCAGGGGAGAGGCUCCGGAGGGACCCUCAGACAUGGGAGGCCCGGGGGCUGUGCUCAGCUGCUGCUUCUCCCGCCCCGGGAGACCCCCGGGGCCACGACCCCCCCCCCCCCCCCCCCAGCUCUGGGCCUCUUCUCUUGAGCUCUAAACCGACGCCCGAGUCUCUGACUUUUAUGGAUCUGAUGCCCGAGGAUUGGUGUCAGCAGCACCUUCACCUCUGGUUUGUUAAGAGCUUGGGCUGGUUUAUCCUUCUCCCCUUUGGACCUGGGUUUCUCUUAGAAUUGCAUUUCUCCCCCCGUGCUGGAGAGCUGCUCUGCCGUGGGUGCCUCCGUUCCCCCAGAAGAUUUCCCCACCUCUCAUGGGUGGGGGGCAGGGGGUGGGGUAGACCUUCCUCAGCUCUUGCUUCCUUCUCCACAAAUCAUGCUGAAGGUAUUUUUCCUUAAAAAAAAAAAAAAAAUCAAAUUUCUCAGCCCUGUAGCAGAAGAGGUUUGAGGAAGGGAAUUCCAGCGGAAUCCUGGAAUUAACACACCUUGGCAUUACGUGGAUUGAGAUAGACCCCCUGAAUAAGAUCGUGCUGCCCUGAAAGGAAAGUGCCCUUUGAGGAGUCUGGGCUGGGCUCGGGGCCUUGGGCCCAGACCGGGUGGUCAGAGGGCUUCCUCUCAUCUUGCGGAGGUGCUCUUCUAAGAGCUGGGGACAUAGCAGGAGACCCAUAGUGUGGAUUUGGGGUUCAUGUCCUGUUUCUGCCUAGAUUAACUCCCCAGCUGACCUUUCCCUGACAAGCUCCUUCCCUUAAACGAAGGCCUUGGAAUCAGUGACGCCCCUGGCCUAGGCCCACCCCUGGGUUCCAGGAAGCCCCAUCUCUUGCUAAGACCAAAAGGGGUGGGAUUAGACUUUUUAAGAGCACGGGUGGGGCCAUGGCUUUCAUGAAGUGUCUGUUCCGUGCUGGGCUCUCUAAGGGGCUCCCUGACCCUGGGGACACCACUUUAGCUGUGUCUGCAGUGGAGGGGAGCAGAGGGCACCCAGCUGCAGGAGAGGCCUGGCCAAAGAGGGUUGUCAAUGCUCAGUGGCUGUGAGCAGGGGCUUUGGAGCAAGACAGCCCACUGCCACUCCUGGUGACGUGUUCUGGGCGGGUUAUCCGAGCUCUCUAGGCACUGCUCUCCUCGGCUGUGCUGGGAAGCAGUUGUUUGGCACAUUGCAGUGCUUCCUUUCCAGAACACUGGUGAGGAUUGACUAUACACUCAUGUUCAGUGAUGGUUUAUUACUGCCGUGGAAACGUGACCCAGUGUUGACCAAUGGUCAGAAGCCCAGCGGCUGGGCCCCUGGAGCUUCCACGUGCCUGUUAGUUCCUCUGCCCCCUGUGUGUCCCAUCCCUCCCUCACCCUCUCUAAACGUGCUUCCUGACAGCCCUGGGGUCAUGCAGCCUGGGUUGGCAUGUUGGUUGCCUUGGGAAAGUCCAUUAAACUCUGUGAACCUCAGCUGCUUCACCUGACAGGUUGGGGUGAAGAUAUACCCACUACCUCUUGGGGCGGAUAUGAGGACACCACGAGAUGAUGCCUGUGAAGCCCUGCCUGGCGCGGGUAAACACUGGCUCUCCUGUGUUGUGGAUACAGGCAGGGGUGUCCUGGGCUGUUCUUUUCUGCGAACUAGAGGCCAGGAUGGAGGUAGGUCUUCAGCUCAACCAGGAGCAAGGGUCGCCGUGAGUUUUCUUCUUUUUCCAUAAGGAAUCUCGGGCUCAGUACAGCCUUGGUGGCAGUGAAGUGUGGCAGAGGUUCGGGGUAUUCUCGAGAUUGAUUGGCUUUUUAGUGCUUAACCCUUCGGUUAGACUGACGUUUCUGGCACCUGCUAAGCAGCGGGUCUUAUUUGGUCCCCUAACGUGUCACCUUCCUUAACCCUGCCCACGUGGCGGUCCCCUUGGGCCCUGCCACCUUGACUCCUUGUCCCUGGUCCACCGACAGGAGCUGACAGCGGAGGUGGAAGCAGGAAAGCAGGUUGUAUGUCCAAAAGCCUCUGGCCCCGUUCCUGCCAAGCUCAUCAGGGUGAGCUUGCUACUGUGAGUUACUGUCAGCUCUUCCCCCAGGGGGCUGGGUCUUUGCUUCUGCCGUUGUCCCUCGGUACCCACGGGGAGAUUGGUUCCAGUACCCCUCACCAACACCAAAGUCUGUGGAUGCUCAAGUCCCUUAUAUCAAAUGGCCAAGUGCAGUCUGUCUCCCUGUCGUCGGGUUCUGCCUCCGUGGAUGUGGAGGGCUGACUACUCCUGAGUUCUGUCACUAGUGACUCACCUGGGUAUCACUGGAGUUUCAGUUUCCUCACCUGUGAAACAGGAACAGCUCUACCUGCUUCACCAGCUCUGAGUUUGGGAAUGUGUUCAGAAUGAAAGGCAGAUCAGGUGUCUUCACAAGGGCUCCUUCCCAGGGGCUGGUUUCUGGGCAUCCGUUCCACAUACAUCCAGGAGGGACAGCUCUCCGCCUGGCCCUGCUCGGCUCCCAGGGCUGGGAGGCAAGGCAGUCCCUGGCGCCAGGUGUUCCUGGUCUGCGUGGCAGACUCCAGCCUGGGCUCUCUGCAGGUCAGUGGAGUGGCUCAUCCCCUCCGUCAAGUGGUCUUCUUCUUGUCAGUGGUAUCCCUUCGUUAAAAGAAUAAAGUCCAGGCUCUUUUUACGACAUCCAGACCUCUUUGUGAUCUAGCCCCUGCUACCCUCACCCUGUUGUUGAACCAGCUCUUGGUUCCUGGGACAAGGGCCAGAGCUUUUGCUCUCAGACCCAGCCCUGCCCCGCCCAGCACGUCUGCAGGGCCUCUUCUGCAGAUUGCAGAAUUCUCCCCUCCCCUCCUUGAAGCCUCUUCAAUCUCGAGUCAUUUUUAUUCAAGAAGACUUUGACAAAGUCUUGUCCCAUCCAUGCCUCAAGGUAAAAAAAUGUACACCCAAAAUGUGAAUCUGAUUAAGUGCCCCUUCCUGAGAGCAAUUAUAAUAUCUAACUCCGAGAGACUUAUUCUGGAGUUAUGGAAAGGGUCUAAGAGUUUGGAGACUUGCAGUCUGUUCUGGGGCGGUGCCUUUAUCUUUCUGGGCCUCAGUCUGCCCAUCAGAAGAAUGUAACGUUAGAAGGAGUAGACAUGGGAGGUGCAGUGGUAAACAGAAGCAGCCCAGGCCCUGUCCUCUGGGGGCAUCAAGGGCUUUGGGGGGCACUUCAGGGGCCAGAUGACUUUUGUGGAGUUGGCUGAAGAGCACCCCACAUCAGGUGGGGUUGGUGAGGGCCGUGCGUCCAGCCUGAGACUAGCUCAGAUUCGGACAGGUUACAUGUUAGUGGGCAAGGGGGCAGCUCCCUGGGAGUGGGGUAAUAGGAAGGUCUAGUCAGGGAAAGAGGGGCUUCCUGAAGGAUUCUUUGGGGCGGAGAGGAUCUGAGCACAGCUCUGUGUAUCGGCAGCUGCCCUGUGGUGAGGGCUGGUCCCCAGCACUGGACGAAGUACUGGACGCUCGGUAUCUGUGGCUGUCUGUGGGGAGGUGGGGUGGCCUGUUUUACGGGUGAGGUUGGGGAGUUUGGGAGGGGACUGCAGACGUGCCCCUGGCCCAUGAAUCCAGAGCUCUUCCACAUGGCUGCCCCUCGUGUUGCCACUGAGGUGCUCCAGGUUUCAAAGCCCACUGCCUGGGUGACAGUGGGCGGGCUUCCUCAGCCCGUCUCUCCCCAGUGUCCUGGUUCUUUCCCUCACCCCAUCCUGUUGCUUCUCCUUAGCCAAGGAAGGAAGACAAGACCUUGGGCCAUUCCCCAAGCUUCUCAGGGGAGAAGAGGCACGAGAAACCACCCAGUCAUCCUGGAAGCCACAAAACUAAAGGGGAAACCUUGGCCAACUUUCCUGUUUUCCUUCUCAGCCCUCUUCUGCCCAGUGGACAGUUGGGGUUGAAUUCUAGCAUCUGGAUUUAUGGCUUCCACAGCCUUGGUCUCCCUGUCCUAGUUGGUAGGACGAAUCUGUACUUUUUGGAUCGUCUGUCUGGGCAUAAGGGGGUAGGGCAGGAAGGCUGUGUGCACGCAUGUGCCCGGAGAGCUUAAAGUCGAGCAGGAAUUAUCUGGGUGGACGAGGCAGUGCCUUUUUAGCAUGCACCUCGCCUUCACUGCGCUGCCGUGAUGAACAGUGGAGCCUUAGUGUUGGCAAGAGGUGGCGUGGAGGCUGGCGGGCAGGAGUGGGAUGCGUCUUUGCAGCCCUGUCCACUUUCAGAGCAAAAGGCAGUCUUUUGUUGGGGGCUGGGGGGGAGAUUUGGUUCUCUUGGCAAGGUAGGCGUGUCCUCCCUGUGUUCUGCGGGAUUGGCAUGGCUCUGGAUCCUGGGUGUGUCUCUGCCUCUCCCACUUACCCACAGAGCAGGUCUCUACUGCAACCAGUAGACGUCUGGGAGGAGAGAGUGUGCUAUCCGGAUGUCGGCCAGAAACCCACAUGGCUGGGACUGGGUCUCGGAAACCCUCGCCAACAUUAAAGAGGGCUGGCUGUUCAGGGCUGUAGUGUGGCUUAGUGGCGGAGCAGGUACACACUCCAUGUGUAGUUAGCAAGAGAUGGGAAUUAGCACCCCAGUUGUGAACUCACUGUUUUCCAGUGGCCACAGGUCUUUAUUUCUAACUCGAGGAAGGGCACAGAAACAUCUUUGGAAAGGAGUGGGAUGGAUGUGUGCUUCCCAAGACAUAGGUCUGAUCACCACUCCCUUGCACGAGCUCCCAAAGGUGAAUGACCCCACUCCUCAGCCUGAAGGUCCCAGCCCCAGGGUCACCAUCUUGUGCAUGAGGCCCCCCCCAGCACCACGCCCACUCUUGCCUCUGCCACACAGAUGCCAGUCUCAGCCCAGAAGCCCCUUUCAUUUCUGCUCUGCCAGAGGACGCCUGUUCAUCCUUCCAUGCCCUGCCUACGCAAUGUGAUGGUUCUGUAAUCGCACACCUGGUACCUGCCUCUGUUGGAAUGCUGCUGCGGUCACAGUUACACCUUGCUCUCUCCACACUGCCUGGGACUCUCUCAGGGAAGGCCAGAGUACUGCUUAUUUUUGUGUCUCCAGCGCGUAGCGCACACUCAGCCCAGGGUGCUGGGACCCAGUGGCUGGGUGCACUGCCAGGUGGACGUGGGUUCUGCUCAUAAGUUCUGCGUAUUAAUGCUUUUUCUUGUGUCCCUGGAAAGAGUGCUGAGUUCUGUGGACACAGGUACAUACAAAGAAUCUUCAGCAGGGAGGCCUCAAGGGUUUAGCAGCAGCAGCUGGAAGCAGAGUCGCCUCUCCUUGCCCCUCCCCCACCCCAAGCACAGCCUUUCAAGGUAGAUAGAACCCUUUCCUGAGGUAACCCUAGAGAAUUCUUCUGAAUUCACUGCAUAGGCGAGGGUCAAACAGCACGAACCUGCUGAAAGAAUUCAGGGUUGGAAUCAAGUCCCCAGAAUGUUUCGUGCUGGCGAGCGAGGGAAGAGUGUGUUCCCCAGCAUUGUGGCCAGAAUGAACGCGGGGAAGAUGGUUAGCAAGGAGAUGCUCUGGGACCAAACAACUGGUCAUGAAUGCUGGUUAUUGUGUUAUAGUAGUGAAAGAUCAUCUUGUUUAAGACCAAUGGCCCAGAAAACCGGGGCUCAGAGAUUGGUCACAUGGCAUGUUGGUGGGGGAACCAGAACUCAGGUUUGCUGACCCCGGAUCCGGGCACUCAUUCUCUUGUCGUCAGUGGGAUAGAUCCUGGCUCUGGUAAAUAAUGCUGUGUCGCUGGACUUCAGUGUUCUCCUUUGUAAAAUGGGGUUAAUUUUUGCUUCAUUUAUCUUAUUAAAGAGAUGUGAGGUUAAAAUCAGAAAGUAAAUCUAGCACUGUUUUGCUUUUCCUUGAGAAUUUAAAAAGACUCCAGUUUUUUCCCUCUUCAGUCUUGAAAACCAUUACUAAGCUCAAGGGUCAGCAAACUUUUUCUGUGAAGGGCUGGAUAGUAAAUAUUUCAGGCUUUGUGGGCCAUCUGAUCUCUGUCACAACUACUCAACUGUACUGAUACAGCGUGAAAGCAGUCUCAGACGGUACACAAAUGAGCGUAGCUGUGUUCCAAUAAAACUUUAUUUACAAAAGCAGGUGACAGGCCAGAUUUGGCCCUGAGCCAUAGGUUGCCGAUUUUUCCUGUAGCUCAGCCACAGUGGUGGCCGUGCUCUUGGGAUCCUCGUGCGGCUGCUGACCCCAGCCUCCACUCUGGGUGUGGUGCAGGGCGCCAAGCCAGGACUUGGGACCAGUGAGCCCACGUCCCUGGGGCUUGGCUUUCCCGUCUGUGCGCGGGGCUGGGGCAGACUCAGGGAGCAGCAUUGGGGGGGACUGUGGUUAGGUCUUGGACGCCGCCUGUACUUUCAUUUGCCAUGUUUCCUCCCUUUGUUUUGAAAACCGUUGCCUGCUGAUUCUGCGUCUCUGUCUCCAUGGGACCUCUUGAGUAAAACAUGAUCUGAGUGCCUCCUGCGGUGUGUCCUGGCGGCCCGUCCCGGGAAGCCAGAUUCACAAGCGCACAGACCUCUCGCCCUCGCCACCUGCCCAGCACUGUCCUGGCUCCUCGGAGAGGCACGGGGAGGAGGAGAGGUCAGCUGGGGCCUUUGCUCAGCCAGAAAUCAAUGAGUCUUUUGCUGAUCCUUGCACAUAGGGGACCCCAGUGGCUUUGAGGAUUCCUGAGGUUAUGCCGAGGUGACUCCAAGGGAGACACGUCGUAUACUGUUGCUCCUCUCACUGACAACUUCCCCACCAUCCCAGGAAGAUGGGCCACCACCACUUGUCAGACCUACCUUACCUGGUGCCCACGGAGGGCCGUGAUUGCUGUGGGCUCAUCUCCCGGAGGCCGGCAGCCCCCUGACUGUGAGCUCUCAGGGCUGUGCUGCAGCCUGGCCAUAGCUCCACGGUUGGGUGUGGCCCAGCUCAGCCCCCUGUAGCCUUGAGUUGGUAACUUUAGCUCUGUCUCCAGCCUCUACUGCCCACGUACACACGUAAAGAUGCCUCUUCCCCAGAGGGGACAGAUAGAAGCAGGAUAGGAAGGCAACUGUCCGAGCCCCUGACAAGUUCGUUCCCAUGGAUCGAAAUGGAGAAAUAACUUUUUCUGAGAUGAGCUGCAUGUCAGCAGCUCCUUGACCCCGCCAGGUGGUCAGCCUCCUGCCACAGGGAGGCUAUGGGUGGAGGCAUAUCGUGCUGACAGAUUUGGGAUGUCAGUGGCACACGGGCACACCUUGGCCCUCUCCCCAGAAUGGGCUUAUGGCAUUUCCUGUCAGCAUUCGUGUCCAAGGAGCAAAUUGGAUUGUCUGUUGCAUGCCUGUUGCCAUGUGUAUAAUUAAUGUAAUUUUAUAUUCACUCAGUUACAGUAACACGCCCAACGGGCGGAUUGCACAGGUCACCAGUAAUGCGGGUCAUCCGUUUCCUGCUGCCAGUUGAUGAAACCCACCCCUGCAUUCUUGCCAGACCACUGGCCAGUAUCCCCAGGAGUCGGGGGCUGGGGGGAACAGGGAUGUGUGGAGCGUUUUGUUUCUUAGCAACCUAAAACUUCAAGUCCCCUUUCCCCAAAGGCCUUCUGACUAAAGGCAGAUUUGGCCUUGAUGGUAAUGACGGGGUGUUCAGCUGUUCCCAGAGCACUCUCACAGCUUUUCUGCAAGGAGAGUGUCACCUGGAUUCUUCGCUCCUUACAGAGGAGCAGCCCCAUGCCCGGGGCUGUCAGGCAGGACUCCAGCCCCAGUGCCAUGGGCUCUAACAGCCGAGUUCUCCCCACUGGCCCACCUCUGCACCCAGAAAACCUGGGACUCAGUCUCAUCUCUGUUUCGUUUGAGAGUCCAUGAUGUCCAGGCAGGUUGAAGGCAGCUUUGGGGAGUAUGGGAUGGCAUUUGGCGAAGGAGCCGUGAGUUUUGGAAAUACUAAACUUAGCAUAUAGCCUUUAUUACCUUUCUCCUUAAAAAAAAAAAAAAAGAAAAAAAAUAAUACAGAUUUUCUUUUUUAUUUGGUUUUUAAUUUUAUGGCACUGUCCUCCCUCACUCCCAAGAGUCUUUAGCUCAGAGGACCAGCGUGGUCAUUCCUGUUGUUACGAACGUUUCCUCCUGGUUCCUUGAACCCAAAAGUGUUAGAUGUGCCCACCCAGGGGCUGGCUGACUGUGGCUGAGGGGUCCGCCUGCUGGCCACGCCUCACUGCUCUGCUCAGGCCCUGCCCUGGACGUCCACGUGGGGACUGUGUCACUGCCCUGGAGGAGCCCACGUGGCAUCCACAAAUAAGGCAGGAUGUCCAAAGAGGAUGCACCACGUUUGGAGUACACCUGGCUGGGUGGAAUAGGCCAGGCUUCGCAAAGGAAGAUGUGUGGGCUUUCAACAGGCUGAGGAGGGCGAUCCCACAGAGUAAGUCUAGCUCUCGCUUGCCCUGUAAAUGGGCUGUGAGUGGCUCUGGAGCAGCAGGCGUGGGGACUGUGGAAGCUUGGGGACCUAUGCCUAGCACCGUCAGCUGUACCACCUCCCUGCAAUACCUGUAGAAUAUCCCAUUUUCCUUAUGAGGAAACCGUACUCACAUGUCCUGGAGGAGCUGGGAUGGAUGCCAGGAAGCUUUCCCCAUUGUGCACAAGCAUGUCUCUCAAGGAUAGCUUCGGAGGGGGGAGUGCAUAGGUGGGUCCUGCAGACGGUUCUGAGGUGCUUUUCUGCAGAGACCUUGGAUCUGUUGUACUCUGCUCCCCACCACGUCGAUGAUGGCAAAGGCACUUUCACUCAACUGUCAGCAUCUAGGGUUUUAGUGGAAUGGUCCAUAGCAGAGCCUCCCCGGGCCCUGCCUAAGUGGCUCUCGGAGGCUGCCACCCAGUGCCGAAGUGACAGGAAAAAGAAUAAGGAAGUGCGGGAGUUAACGUAUUUCCGUAACGUCUGAGGGGAAUGGCAAGUCCAUUAACAGGUUCUGGGGCAGAGCGAGGCCCAGACAGGAAGUGGGCAAGUCACCUUCCUUUUCCCAGAUUCAGUGGCAGGGAUUUCCCGAGUUGGGGUGUCCCCUCGGCACAGGUCUCCUUGCCGUCACCCCAUGGAGGCAGGACUGUACGAUGGAAAGAGUUCUGACCCGCCAGGGGCCCCCAGUUCUCAUCCCAGCUCCCUGUUGGCCUCCGUUCUGUGGCCUCCCUGAGCUUUGGUUUACCUGUCACCUUCUCUUGGAACCCAUGGCAGUUUAAACCAACACUCCAGCCUGUUUGUCACUGUGUCCUCAUCCUUCUCCCCAGCUAGCCUGGGAGCUUUCAGGGCCAAGACGAGUCCACUGCACUUAUGUGACCCUCCCUUACCCCAGCAUGGGCUGGCCAGACACAUGGAAGGUCAGCACCCAGAAUAUGUAUGUGGGUGAGUGGCUGGGUGCACCCACAAGUCCUUCAGCCUCUAGGAGCACUGCUCACGGGCUUGGAGAAUGGUGGACCAGCUAGGCGGCCCAGGACUCUAGAAUCAGCCUGGACCCACCACUUCAUAGCUUUGUCAUCCAAGUCAAGUGGCUUCGCCUUGCUGAGCCUCAGUUCCGUGGCUAUAUAAAAUGGAGCAGUUAAGAGCCCUUCCAGUGAGGAGUUGAGAUGACAUGAGCUGAUGCAAGUGAAGGCCAUCUGUACCGUGUGGCAGGUGUGGCUUCGUUAUUAUCACUGUAAUCGUUCCCAUUUCACUGAUGAGAGAAACGCAGUCAGUGGCAGAGUCAGGAUUUGAACCCAGUUCUUUCCAAACCCUGUUUCUUUGUCUGCAUGGAUGGGGACGUGAUACCAUGAAGAGAGCGAGCCCUGGGCUGGAGUUAGGUGAUGUGGCUCAGCUGCCAGCUUCAUCUGUGUGGCCUUGGACAAAUCACACCCCUGUCCUGCGCCUCUCUUCUUCCCCGUGAACGAGCAUUGGAAGCAGUGAUGAUCUUUCAGGGCUGCCAACAAACAGGUGACUGCUGGGCAGAUCUGUGCAGCAUCUGGGGAAGAGAAAAGCCAACAUCCCAACAAAGGUCAGAAUCUUAAAACAAGUUCUUUUUUUUUUUUUUGUCUGCCUCCUACAUAGCCUUUUGCUCGAGUGGGUAACAAGUUGAAAAGACUAAAGGUCUGUUUU